rnacentral:rRNA from 1 species
GACGAACGCUGGCGGCGUGCUUAACACAUGCAAGUCGAACGAUGAAGCCGGAGCUUGCUCUGGUGAAUUAGUGGCGAACGGGUGAGUAACACGUGAGUAACCUGCCCUUGACUCUGGGAUAACUGCGGGAAACUGUAGCUAAUACCGGAUACGACCCUCGGAGGCAUCUCCUGGGGGUGGAAAGAAUUUCGGUCAAGGAUGGACUCGCGGCCUAUCAGCUAGUUGGUGAGGUAAAGGCUCACCACGGCGACGACGGGUAGCCGGCCUGAGAGGGUGACCGGCCACACUGGGACUGCGACACUGCCCAGACUCCUACGGGAGGCAGCAGUGGGGAAUAUUGCACAAUGGGCGCAAGCCUGAUGCAGCAACGCCGCGUGAGGGAUGACGGCCUUCGGGUUGUAAACCUCUUUUAGUAGGGAAGAAGCGAAAGUGACGGUACCUGCAGAAAAAGCACCGGCUAACUACGUGCCAGCAGCCGCGGUAA